AACAAACGCUGGCGGCGUGCCUAACACAUGCAAGUCGAACGGGUAGCAAUACCAGUGGCGCACGGGUGAGGAAUACAUAGAUAAUCUGCCUCCGAGUCGGGGAUAACCAGUCGAAAGAUUGGCUAAUACCGGAUAAGACCACAAGAUCUGCGGAUCUAGGGGUUAAAGGUUUUUCGCUUGAAGAUGAGUCUAUGCGAGAUUAGCUAGUUGGUGAGGUAAUGGCUCACCAAGGCGACGAUCUCUAACUGGUCUUAGAGGAUGAUCAGUCACACUGGAACUGAGACACGGUCCAGACUCCUACGGGAGGCAGCAGUAGGGAAUAUUGCGCAAUGGGGGAAACCCUGACGCAGCGACGCCGCGUGAGUGAUGAAGGCCUUCGGGUCGUAAAGCUCUGUCGUAUGGGAAUAACACAAUGAAUGUACCAUGCAAGAAAGGAUCGGCUAACUUCGUGCCAGCCGCCGCAGUAA
rnacentral:rRNA from 1 species